rnacentral:lncRNA from 1 species
CUUCCUUGUAGAAAGUCCCAUUAUUAACAUUGGCAUCAACUUGAAGUGAUGCAUGGAUUAUAAUAAAUGAACUUUAAGAAUCCCCUAGAAGAAUUUAUCAUCAAUACCAAUAUUUAUAUAGCACAUAGAGAACCUCACGAGUGCUUCUUUAUAGAAAGUCUUAUUAUGAGGUCAUGCCACCUCAGCCAAUGUCCUCGAGGCUCAUCCUUAAAAAUCUUAGAUUGAUAAAAACACCGAUGUGAACCUCAAUGACAAGCACUACCAUAUCUGACAUGAGAUGUCGGGGCAAAGCAACCUCUUCAACUUUCGUUUGGCCC